rnacentral:rRNA from 1 species
UACGUAGGGUGCGAGCGUUAAUCGGAAUUACUGGGCGUAAAGCGUGCGCAGGCGGUUUGUUGUGUCGGUGGUGAAAGCCCCGGGCUUAACCUGGGGAUGGCCAUGGAAACUGGCGAACUGGAGUGUGGCAGAGGGGGGUGGAAUUCCGCGUGUAGCAGUGAAAUGCGUAGAGAUGCGGAGGAACACCGAUGGCGAAGGCAGCCCACUGGGCUAGCACUGACGCUCAGGCACGAAAGCGUGGGGAGCAAACAGG